rnacentral:miRNA from 1 species
AAAUAGUCACCUUUUGUGUAAC